rnacentral:rRNA from 1 species
CCUACGGGACGCAGCAGUGAGGAAUAUUGGUCAAUGGGCGGUAGCCUGAACCAGCCAAGUAGCGUGAAGGAUGAAGGUUCUAUGGAUUGUAAACCUCUUUUGCCGGGGAGCAACGGGGUCCUUGCGAGGGCCCGAUGAGAGUACCCGGAGAAAAAGCAUCGGCUAACUCCGUGCCAGCAGCCGCGGUAAUACGGAGGAUGCGAGCGUUAUCCGGAUUUAUUGGGUUUAAAGGGUGCGUAGGCGGGCUGUUA